GAUGAACGCUCGCGCCAGGCUUAACACAUGCAAGUCGAGGGGCAGCACAGGUAGCACUACCGGGUGGCGACCGGCGCACGGGUGAGUAACGCGUAUGCAACUUACCUAUCAGAGGGGGAUAACCCGGCGAAAGUCGGACUAAUACCGCAUGAAGCAGGGGUCCCGCAUGGGGAUAUUUGCUAAAGAUUCAUCGCUGAUAGAUAGGCAUGCGUUCCAUUAGGCAGUUGGCGGGGUAACGGCCCACCAAACCGACGAUGGAUAGGGGUUCUGAGAGGAAGGUCCCCCACAUUGGUACUGAGACACGGACCAAACUCCUACGGGAGGCAGCAGUGAGGAAUAUGGGGCAAUGGCCGAGAGGCUGAACCAGCCAAGUCGCGUGAGGGAUGAAGGUUCUAUGGAUCGUAAACCUCUUUUAUAAGGGAAUAAAGUGCGGGACGUGUCCCGUUUUGUAUGUACCUUAUGAAUAAGGAGCGGCUAACUCCGUG
rnacentral:rRNA from 1 species